UACGAAGGGGGGCUAGCGUUGCUCGGAAUCACUGGGCGUAAAGCGCACGUAGGCGGAUUGCUAAGUCAGGGGUGAAAUCCUGGAGCUCAACUCCAGAACUGCCUUUGAUACUGGCGAUCUUGAGUCCGGGAGAGGUGAGUGGAACUGCGAGUGUAGAGGUGAAAUUCGUAGAUAUUCGCAAGAACACCAGUGGCGAAGGCGGCUCACUGGCCCCGGUACUGACGCUGAGGUGCGAAAGCGUGGGGAGCGAACAGG
rnacentral:rRNA from 1 species